rnacentral:rRNA from 1 species
AUGAACGCUGGCGGCGUGCCUAAUACAUGCAAGUCGAGCGAACAGAUAAGGAGCUUGCUCCUUUGACGUUAGCGGCGGACGGGUGAGUAACACGUGGGUAACCUACCUAUAAGACUGGGAUAACUUCGGGAAACCGGAGCUAAUACCGGAUAACAUUUGGAACCGCAUGGUUCUAAAGUGAAAGAUGGUUUUGCUAUCACUUAUAGAUGGACCCGCGCCGUAUUAGCUAGUUGGUAAGGUAACGGCUUACCAAGGCGACGAUACGUAGCCGACCUGAGAGGGUGAUCGGCCACACUGGAACUGAGACACGGUCCAGACUCCUACGGGAGGCAGCAGUAGGGAAUCUUCCGCAAUGGGCGAAAGCCUGACGGAGCAACGCCGCGUGAGUGAUGAAGGGUUUCGGCUCGUAAAACUCUGUUAUUAGGGAAGAACAAACGUGUAAGUAACUGUGCACGUCUUGACGGUACCUAAUCAGAAAGCCACGGCUAACUACGUGCCAGCAGCCGCGGUAAUACGUAGGUGGCAAGCGUUAUCCGGAAUUAUUGGGCGUAAAGCGCGCGUAGGCGGUUUCUUAAGUCUGAUGUGAAAGCCCACGGCUCAACCGUGGAGGGUCAUUGGAAACUGGGAAACUUGAGUGCAGAAGAGGAAAGUGGAAUUCCAUGUGUAGCGGUGAAAUGCGCAGAGAUAUGGAGGAACACCAGUGGCGAAGGCGACUUUCUGGUCUGUAACUGACGCUGAUGUGCGAAAGCGUGGGGAUCAAACAGGAUUAGAUACCCUGGUAGUCCACGCCGUAAACGAUGAGUGCUAAGUGUUAGGGGGUUUCCGCCCCUUAGUGCUGCAGCUAACGCAUAAGCACUCC